rnacentral:lncRNA from 1 species
AGGCAGACAGCAUUUUAACGAUUAUAUAACUUUUGCGUUUGUAUUUAAAAUGAAAAAGAACAUGAAUUUUAAUGUGACACAUAUUAAGUACUAGUAAUCUAAAUUCAUAUAUUUUAACAUUUUAUUAUCUUUACUGGCGUAUGGAUAAGUGUUACUUGAAUGUAUUUAUAAUUAUAUUUAUUAUAGCUUAUUGCUAUAAUAUACAUUUUUUUUUCAUGUGUAGUCAUCACAAAAAGUUUGUCUCAAUGUGUUCAGUACAAAUGAUGAUAAGUAUUUAAUAUUUCAGUCUUUGCCGCUGUAUGUCAAUCUGAUUCCCAAUGUUCAAAAGGAUAUCACUGUUGUAAAGGAACCAUAUGGUGUUGUCCGAGUGGUUACGCGUGCACGGGUACAUCAACCUGUUUAUCCACUGGGUAGGUCUUUUUCUUUUACUUUCGCAUAUAAAAUGAGUUCCUCUUUAUUCAGAAUAGUGUUAUUUUCAUGGGCAAAUAGUUAAAGAUUAUGUUUGGCAUCAAAAAUGGGCAUGCCUUGAAUCUAGCCUUUACUGUUUUAUGUAUGCUGACGUUAAUAUGCAUAAACAAACAUCUAAAACACAUUCAAAGUAUUUGACUUCUUUCAACAAAAGGCCUGUAUUUCGAUACAGAUUAUAAUGCUAAUCUUUUCACGAUAUUUUAUUUUACUCGUAUUAGUGGAGUCUAUUUUGUCUAAUUUUAAUUAAGUUGUGUGUGUUACUAUGUUUCUGUCCCGUUUAGUACUAUGUUUUACAUUUUGAUUUCUUGAAAUGUAGAUUGAAAACUUUGUUUUGUUCUAUAACAGAAACAACUGAGAAGGGGUAAGAAAAUGGCAAAUUUAGAUCGAUCAUCCACUAGUAUGUACAUGAGCAUAUACUAUUUCAUUAUCUUUGCUGAUACGAGUGUUCGAAAAAAAACCUGAUUAGAUAGAAUAACAAAUCGAGACAAUUUCAUCUGAAUAUAUAUACAACUCCUCUAAACAUCAGCAAAAAAUUGUUAGAUCUGUAAAUUUGCUUUCGCAUAUAUUUUUUAUUAUCCCUCGCUGGGAUUCGAACUCGUGCUAUUGAGAUAUUGUGACACUAAAUCGCCUGACCUUUAUCCGACGCGCUAGACCACUCGACCACCUUGGCUUCAAUAAUAAAGCUUUCGGUGCCCGGAUGUUACCUUUCCAAGUCAGUUUUAAUCUAGCGUCGUAAUACAAUACAUGAUAUAUAAGGCAUGAAGAUGAAAUUGUUACAGAUCAGCUGAAAUAUCUAUUGUAAAGGUUUGCACUAAUUUGUAGAAUCCUUAACAAAAGAUAUUUCAGCUGAUCUGUAACAAUUUCCUAUUCCUGCCUUAUAUAUCAUGUACUGUAUUGCGACCCUAGUUUUAAACUGACGCGGAAAGGUAAUUUUCUAAAUUGAAAACAAAACGAUAGUUUAAAACUGACGAGGAAAGGUAAUUUUCUAAAUUGAAAACAAAGUUCAAACCUACGAUUGCGUCGGAUGAAAAUCGCACUUUUUAUACGUGUGCAUGUAAAACAAAUUUCGUUGUAGAGGGGUCUAAAUACAACACAAACAACAUUUUCCAAAAGACCAAAAGAGUGAAACGUAUAUUUUUAACAAAACGCAUUUGGCUAACAGGUAGAACAACUGAUGUUCUUAAACCCAUUGAUAAUUGCCAAAUAAAUUGAUCACACGAUGUAACGAAAUGGAUCUGAUAUUAAUUUAAUACCAAGCAGAAAACAAUAAACUUGCGGCAAAGAUGGUUAACCACAAACAUGUGGUGCUAAAUAUUUUUUUACACCAUAUCCGGAUUUCGACGAAAUGGCAUCUGGCGUAUUAAAUUAUAAUCCUGGUGCCUUUGAUAACUAUUUACACCACUGGGUCGAUUCCACUGCUGGCGAACGUUUCGUCCCCGAGGGUAGCACCAUCCUAGUAGUCAGUACUUCGGUGUUGACUUGAAUAUCAAUUAUAUGGUCAUUUUUAUAAAUUUCCUGUUACAAAACUUUGAAUUUUCGAAAAACUAUAAGGAUUUUUUCUUAUCCCAGGAAUAGAUUACCUUAGCCGUAUUUGGCACAACUUUUUGGAAUUUUGGGUCCUCAAUGCUCUUUAACUUUGUACUUGUUUUGGCUUUAUAACUAUUUUGAUCUGAGCGUCACUGAUGAGUCUUAUGUAGACGAAACGCGCGUCUGGCGUACUAAAUUAUAAUCCUGAUAUCUUUGAUAACUAUAUUUAGUGAUGUUAGGGAUCGAAGCAGUAUUUGAAAGGCCAUAUUAUUUACCUCAAUUUAGGAUAGACUCUUGAAUUUUAAAAAGUCGAAAUAGGAUGAACGGGUUAUAUAAACUUGAGGAAAAAUAUAAUACAAGCCCAAACGAAAUAAAUAUAAACAAGUCGAAAUUGAAAACAGUCUAAACCUAUGAUAAACACUGCUGAGUCGAUUGCCAAAUAAAUUGAUGACAAGGUGUAACAAAAUGGAUUUUUAUUUAAUAAAAAGUAGAAAACAAUUAACUUGCGGCAAAGAUGGUAUACAACGACAUGAGGUGCUAAAGUUUUUACACCAUAUCCGGAUUUCAACAACUAAUGUCUCUUUAGUGAUGUUAAGGUUCGAAAAGUAAUUGGAAUGCGAUUUAAUUUACCUCAGUUUAGGAUAGACUCUUGAAUUUUAAAGAGUCAAAAUAAGAUGAACGGAUUAUAUAAACUGGAGGGAAAAUAUAAUACAAGCCCAAACGAAAUAGAUAUAAACAAGUCUUAAUUGAAAACAACAUUCAAACCUAUGAUUGCGUUGGAUAAUUUUUUUGUAUACGUGUGCAUGUAACAAAUUUCGUUGUAAAGGGGUCUAAAUACAGCACAAACAACAUUUUCCAAAAGACCAAAAUAGUGAAAAAAUAUAUUUUAACAAAACGCAUUUGACUAACAGGUCGAACAACUGAUGUUCUUAAGCCCUGCUAUAUAUAUGGGUUCUAACUGACUAAUGUCCACUAAUUACUCGAUUCCGUUGUUUGGACAUAAAAUGUAAAUAAUUAUGUUGAAUAGAUAAGGGGAAAAGAAGAUGGAAAUUACUAAGGGGACAUUCAAAACUCAAGUAAAAAAAACUGACAAUACCAUGGCAACAAAACAAACAAACAAAAAUCGACGAAGAUUUGAACUGAACAGAUCCACGUUACAUAGAAAACAAAAGAUCGAGCAACACGAACCUGACUAAUCCCGAAGUUCAAUGUGCUCCAGAACAGUAAGCAGUUCUUAUUACGUCUGCAUGUUGCGCCCGUUGUGUCAUUAAUGCAAGUAUAAAUCCGCUGAUAAGGACGGGAUUGUGGUUACGACAGUUGAAACAUAUCCACGGUCAUAUCUGAGAUAGAAAUGUCUUAACGGUCAAAGAACUGGUGAUUGCAACUAAAACAUUCAAAGGAAUGACUUUACCACAUGGAAUACUUUAUUAAAAAGUUGACAUGUAAAUAACACAUUCCAUCAAGGAAAUGCUGAUAGCAAAAGCUCACAAUAGGGAAGGUUAAUAUAUUGAAUGUAUACGUGUUUCAUGUUAAAACAAUAUUGUAUGAAUCGAGUUUCCUUUUCAAACAUUCCGUCAUGUUUUUUCUCAGGAUGAUUGCUGGUAUUGUGAUAGGAGUUUUAGUAGUUAUCAUAAGUGUAGCCGCAGUAGUCUACAAAAAAUGUUUCCGUAAGUAAAACUAUCAUUUUAAUUUUCGAUUAUAAUAUAUUUCGAAUUCCACAAAACUUUAAUGUGCACAUAUUGUUGCAAUUUACUAAGUUAGCACAAAAUAAUUUGCUUGUCCCCUUGAAGACUUAUCUAUUCAUCUUUUUUUGUUUGUAUUAUUUCGUUUUAAAAACGUGUACGUCAUUGGAGCUCUACUGUAAAGACGCUAGUACUUGUUAGAGAUUAAUAACUUUUAAAGAACAACGUAGAAAAAAAAUAGAAUAUGAAUAUUGUGACUAUACACUUUAGUUUUCAUUAAGUGACAUAAAACAAAUAGUAAAUGGGGGAAUUGUAUUGAAUUUUGAUAAUUAUAUGCAAUCAAAUUCUCAAAAUAAGGAUAAGGAAUUCAUCAACUUUAUAAAAAAAAUAGAAACAAACAUUAAUAAAGGCCAUUUUUGAUUGAGAACAUUGCAUUUAAUGAUAUAUGUAGGUCGGUCUCCGAAACAGCAUGCAGCAUUGAGUGUUCACUAUAGAAAUAAAUAAAAGUUCAAUCCUAAUGAUUUAACUCAUCUAGAUCGCAUUGUUUGUAUUUUUGUUUAUGUUGAAUCAAAACUUUAUUGAUGUUUACAGGAAAUACAGUAUAAAGAAGCCGCAUUAAAAAGCGAAAGGAUGAAAUAACAAAAGAAUG